AUCACACUUUACAGUG
rnacentral:rRNA from 1 species